GUGUGAGGCUGUGUCUGGAUGGAGCCACCUGAAACUGGCUGACCCUGAGGCAAGACCAUGCUCCUUCUAACAGGCUCGAUUUGAACAUAGGGCGGGAAGCUGUCCAUGCACUACUGUUUCUGGCUGGUGUUGGCAGGCAGAGGCGGAGCAGGCCACCAUGCAGGGACUUCUUGGGGAAUCAAAGGGAUGGUCCUGCCAACAGAGAGGCCUCUGUCUUCUGGGAGAGUCCUCCAGGGAUCCUCGUGGGUGGCUCAGCCUGAGCACCCUCCCCAGUGCCUCUGCACACUAGCCACUGGUGCAGAUGAUGACAGCCCGGGUCAGUGAACAGUUAUGUUGCCUACAACACCAUUAUCUCCCGGGCCAGCGGCACCGUUUCCUGGAAGCCCAGUGGAGCCCUGGCUGCCGUGUAAUUGGACCAUUCAGAAGUGAAUUAUCUGCAGCUGGAAACAAGACACUGCCUUUUAACUCGGGCAUUAUAAGGUCAGGACUCGAGACAUCUCAGGGAAAAGCAUUUAUUGAAAAGUGAUGGGAAAAUGAAAUUUAAAAUU